rnacentral:lncRNA from 11 species
GUUCGGUAGUGUUGGUGGACAUGCAAUGUUUCAUCCUAAACUGUUUAUUGAUUUAUCAGUGAGGUUUGUGUGUAAGCAGCAUCAUCGAAGAUCAGAUGGCACUCUUUCAUAAGCAUUAUUGUACAAUGGAUACUGGUAAUUGAGGAGAGAUAUCAGACCCCAGAGAUACGAAGCUCGAAAAUACAGGGCUGAUAGCAACGGAUCAUUUGUGCGUCAUAUCUCUGUUUUCACACUCGAACAACCGGGACGUCAGACUGUGGUCGCGAGGUUUGCUACAGAAAGUGGAAGGUUUCGGUAUCCCUGCGAUCGACACCCCUCGUCACCGCCAAAAAGCCUUCUCGGUAUACAUAGACCUGUAGGUAGCCACACGCCACGCGAUAGUUUGAUCUGAUGUUUGCUUGACAAUCACAUAGACAUCAACAGCAGCCAUUGGUGCUACUGCUAAUA